AUUCCUAUCAGAGCCUGAGUCACAGACAGUACCUUAGACUCUAAGCUUAGGCACCUUGUGCCUUGUUUUUGUGGCUAAGGAUUCUCAGAGUUGUAGGAUGCUGACAAAGUUUAUCCCAAAGGCUCUGAUUGUACUUUCUCCACAAGCUUCAGCAUGGCAGUAUCUCUCACCACUUGUUUUGGUCCAAGGGCAGAAAUGAGCAUCCUGGAAACCAAUCAGUACUUGCUCUCUGAACUGGAAAAGUGCAAAGAGAACUUCCGAGACCUCACAGAGAAAUUCCUGACAUCCAAAGCUACUGCCUACUCCCUGGCCAAUCACCUGCAGAAAUAUAAGUGUGAAGAGUGCAAAGACCUUAUAGAAUCUGUGCUGGAGGAGGAGCUGCAGUUUCAGGAGAGGGAGCUGACCAAAUUGCCAAGGCCAGCAGCAAGGCUCCGGAUACAUGAUCCCUUAAUUCAGGCUCAGGCUGAAGAACUGACCCACUUACGACAGAAGAUACAAGAAGGGAGAGGUGUCUGCUACCUUUUCACCCAGCAUGUGAAGAACACAGUCAAGUCUUUUGAGGGCCU
rnacentral:lncRNA from 1 species